rnacentral:tRNA from 1 species
GCUCAGUUAGUUAAGCAAGCAUCUGACUUUGACUCAGGUCAUGAUCUCACAGUUUGUGAGUUCAAGCCCCACGUUGAGCU